rnacentral:rRNA from 1 species
AUUGAACGCUGGCGGCAGGCUUAACACAUGCAAGUCGAGCGGAAACGAUGAUAGCUUGCUAUCAGGCGUCGAGCGGCGGACGGGUGAGUAACGCGUAGGAACCUACCUAUUAGUUUGGGAUAGCCAUUGGAAACGAUGAUUAAUACCGGAUACGCCCUACGGGGGAAAGGGGGCUUCGGCUCUCGCUAUUAGAUGGGCCUGCGUGAGAUUAGCUAGUUGGUGAGGUAAUGGCUCACCAAGGCAACGAUCUCUAGCUGGUUUGAGAGGAUGAUCAGCCACACUGGGGACUGAGACACGGCCCAGACUCCUACGGGAAGCAGCAGUGGGGAAUAUUGCACAAUGGGCGCAAGCCUGAUGCAGCCAUGCCGCGUGUGUGAAGAAGGCUCUAGGGUUGUAAAGCACUUUCAGCAGUGAGGAAGGUUAGUAGUUAAUACCUGCUAGCUGUGACGUUAACUGCAGAAGAAGGACCGG